AGUGAACGCUGGCGGUAGGCCUAACACAUGCCAGUCGAACGGCAGCACAGUAAGAGCUUGCUCUUACGGGUGGCGAGUGGCGGACGGGUGAGGAAUAAAUCGGAAUCUACUUUUUCGUGGGGGAGAACGUAGGGAAACUUACGCGAAUACCGCAAACGACCUACUGGUGAAAGCAGGGGAUCUUCGGACCUUGCGCGAUUGAAUGAGCCGAUGUCUGAUUAGCUAGUUGGCGGGGUAAAGGCCCACCAAGGCGACGAACCGUACCUGGUGUGGGAGGAUGGUCGCCCACCCUGGAAGUGGAACAGGGUCCCGACGCCUGCGGGAGGCCGCAGUGGGGAAUAUUGGACAAUGGGGGCAAGCAUGGUCCAACCAUACCGCGUCGGUGGAAAAGGCCUUCGGGUUGUAAAGCCCUUUUGUUGGGAAAGAAAAGCAGCAGGUUAAUACCCCGCUGUUCUGACGGUACCCAAAGAAUAAGCACCGGCUAACUUCGUG
rnacentral:rRNA from 1 species